CUGGUACUCCCUCCGUUCGGAAAUACUCGUCCUAGAAAUGAUUGUAUCUAGACUUGUUUUAGUUUUAGAUACAACCAUUUCUAAGACAAGUAUUUCCGAACGGAGGGAGUAUAUU
rfam:Triticum aestivum genome assembly, contig: Triticum_aestivum_CS42_TGACv1_scaffold_096577_2AL